UUCUAUUACAAAAUUAGAAACCAACAUUACAGGAUACAGAAAGGAACUCUAUGACAAAUUUACAAGCAGAUACCCAAACAUCAGUUAUAGAACAAUGCAUAGCAGAUCAAAGAAGAACCAUCAUCCACAGAAAUCUCGUACCACACAGUACAUUAGAAAAUGUUAAAACUCAGGUAUCACAACAAAUAUCACAACAUGAAACAGAUUCACAUACAAAUAGAACACAAAGUGUAACAGACACCAGAAAUAACAUUCACUGAUGACAACACACUGCCAUUAACAAUGCUGACACAGACCUAAUAAACUUGCUG
rnacentral:lncRNA from 1 species